GGGGGAGAAUGACUGCCCCCUUUCAUUGAGGAUUUCAAGUUAAAGGCUAACCGGAGUACUGAAGGCAAUGUUUUCAGAAGGCAGGAUCCCCAAUUAUAGUCAAAGGUAGUAUGGCAAUCUCCGCAGUCAAUAUUUGUUGUAUACUUGUUUUUCUUGUUUUUUAAACACAAUCAUGGUACCAAUACUUGCUUCUAUUUCACCAGAUGUAUAUCCUUGAACAUAUUAUUUUAUAAUUUAAGGAUAAUUUCCCGCCUGCAGUACCCUGGUCGGCCUUAAACUUGAGAUACUCCAUGAGAGGUGGCAGCACUGAGCUAACUUGCAACGUCACUUCCUAGAGCAGCUCAAACUGCUCAUGCGAUAUUUCCAAAAACUCCUCCAUGAAGCAAGAUAUCGACAUGCUAAAAUGACAUUCCUGAUCUUCAAACGCGCCACUAAGACUUCACAUAGGAAACAAUGGAGUGAUGUCAUCUUUGGCUUUGUCCAUUCUUUUUAAAGUCAAUGCUUUCCUCUCUCCCCUCUCCCCUCUUCCCCCGUCUCUUCCUCUCUCUCCCCUGGUUAGUUGUAUGUUAAUUUAUUGUGUUAAGUGCUCCCCCUCUUUUCUCUCUCUCUCUUCCUCCCACAUGUAUUUUUAUAAUUUUUUUAAUUUUUGUCAUUUAGCAGCUACUCCUAUCCAGGGCGACUUACAGUGAUGUUUGGUUCUCCCAAACCAAUGUGUUUCGAGACAGGGAUGAAAUACACUGUACGCCUGAGCUUGUCCCUCUACUCUGCACUCUGUGAUGUCCAGUCCCCAUAUACAAUCAUCGACUUGAUUGUGCUGAUGCCUCACUGUAAAAACCUGGAGAUCCUCACUGGUUCUGAGUGAGGUGACGUGGCCAAGAGCAGUGCCUGGGACACGUUCCAGCAUUACCGCUGUCUGGAGAACAGCCAGAGCGUGGCCAAGAACCCCUCCACAGACAUCUGCCGCAACUUCAUAUUUAGUGCACCAGCUCUUCUGCACCAGGGAGCUAAAAGGUUUCAAGAGGGUUUCUUCUGGCUCAAUGCUGACGAAUGGUGUGGAUUGUACAGCUCGACUCAGUCCCACAUCUGCCAUUCCAUAUUGAGGCAAACAUGCAACAGCUCUGUGCCAUUUUAUCUUUCCUCGAUUCCUUGCAUCCUUUUUCCACGCCUCCUUCUAAAACCCAAUUGGAGGAUCUCAGACCUCCAAUGGGUUUUGAGAAGGAUGCGAAUAGAGCUGAAGUGAGGAUUUGAGCAGAGAUGAAUUGGGACAAAGCUCAUGUCAAUGUUUUAGGUGGAAUGCUGAAUGAUACAUUUGUUAUGUUUUCACGUAAAUCUUUGUACUACUUGUGCUCUUUCCACAGAACCCACUGGGCACAGACGUCAAUUCAACAUUUAUUCUACGUUGGUUCAAUGUAAUUUCAUUGAAAUGACGUGGGAAAAACGUUGAGUCAACCAGUGUGUGCGAAGUGGGAUGCCUCUGGCUUGCUGAUAACAUCUGAUGAGCCUCCCUAUGACUGCCUGACUGUACUCAAUAACACUCCCAUUGCCAAAGUGAAAUAAUUUGAGACAAUGUAAUUUGAUAGACUGUGGCUAGGAUUCCAUUCAAUUGGUGAAAAAUUACCAUGCGAAUAUUUGAAAAACUGCAUUAAGAAAAUAUGCGCAUUUUCCCACCAGUGAUGUUUGCACCAAACUGAAUUGUUGUGGAUAGAAAUCAGUGUGUGAUAACAUAGUGCACACAUGUACCUUUCCUGCAGUCAAAUAACCAAAGCGCCCACUAGUGGGUAGUGGGUAGUGCGUACGGCCCAGUACAUCACUGGGGCUAAGCUGCCUGCCAUCCAGGACCUCUACAUUAGGUGGUGUCAGAGGAAGGCCCUAAAAAUUGUCAAAGACCCCAGCCACCCCAGUCAUAGACUGUUCUCUCUACUACCGCAUGGCAAGCGGUACCGGAGUGCCAAGUCUAGGACAAAAAGGCUUCUCAACAGUUUUUACCCCCAAGCCAUAAGACUCCUGAACAGGUAAUGAAUGGCUACCCAGACUUUUGCAUUGUGUGCCCCCCCUCACCCAAACCCCUCUUUUUAUGCUGCUGCUACUCUCUGUUUAUCUCAUAUGCAUAGUCACUUUAACUAUACAUUCAUGUACAUACUACCUUAAUUGGGCCGACCAACCAGUGCUCCCACACAUUGGCUAACCGCACUAUCUGCAUUGUGUCCCGCCACCCGCCAACCCCUCUUUUACGCUACUCUCUGUUCAUCAUAUAUGCAUAAUCACUUUAACCAUAUCUACAUGUACAUACUACCUCAAUCAGCCUGACUAACCAGUGUCUGUAUGUAGCCUCGCUACUUUUAUAGCCUCGCUACUGUAUAUAGCCUGUCUUUUUACUGUUGUUUUAUUUCUUUACUUACCUAUUGUUCACCUAAUACCUUUUUUGCACUAUUGGUUAGAGCCUGUAAGUAAGCAAUUUACUGUAAGGUGGACACCUGUUGUAUUCGGCGCACGUGACAAAUAAACUUUGAUUUGAUUAGUGGUGGGUGGAACAUUAUUUAUAUUUUUCAUAAUUAAUAAACAUUAUUUAUUUUUAAACGCCCCAAAUCCAUUGUUUCCAUAUCAAACGGUUUUGUUAUAUUUCAGUCUUCUGUGAUGUUUAUAAAGUGUAAUAGUGUAUACAUUUCAACUCUAUCUGACAUGGUACAUGCAUCUUCUUUUUAAGCCCAUAACCAUGUUUGUGAGGUGUAUACUUUGUUUCAAAGUAGAUUUAAGACUAUGAAGAAACACUCUGUGUGACCCUGAUUCAGCCCACUGCAGUAAAAGGUUAAGUGUUCAUGUACCGAAUACAAUUCUAAUGUUCAAUGUGUUUCCAUCGCAUUUUCAACUCUACCGAUAGUUUUGUGUGCAUGGUGACACAGUAUGUGCCUACUCUGGUCUUGGUUUCCGCGAGUCGUAGUGGUGGGACCACACACCAUGUCACUGCGUGACUCCAAGUUAACUUCGAUAUGAUGGUUAAUAUUCCACCGCUAUUUUUACCGACACAAAAAGAUCCCACCAUGUCGAACUAACAAAUUAUCUGUCAGCAUUUAUAAAAGUGUACCGAAAACAGCUGUUCUGAUUUAUUUUUUAUACGGUAUGACUUUACUCGCAUAAAAACUGUAGAUGGAAACGUGGUUAAUGGUAGUUCCCAAUCAGACAAUUAAUACAAAACAAAUCUGUUUUCCUCAGUUAAGUUUUAGUGAAUGCAUGGCGUUGCCUUGUCUUCAGUCCUUAUUAGAAUGCUGUGUGUACCACGAGGACAUGUUAACCCGGUUUUAGCUGCUUAAUCAUAUACAUUUUAGUCUACAUUCCAUUAUUUGACACUUGGUUAUGUACUGUUAUAAUGUAACAUGUUCUCCCCUUUGUGUCUCCAUAUAAUUCAAAAUCCCCAAUGUGCUGCCUGUGUGUGUGUGUGUGUGUGUGUGUGUAUACCCUUGGGCCUAAUAAAUACCCUAAAUAUUGGAUCCUGCCUUCAUCUCAAUUCCUGUACUGUCUUUUAACUAGCCCACUAGUCCUUCCAUUCUUCAAUGUUAUCAUUGUUAAGCCAUUAUUAUGUGAGUACCCACAUGUUAUUCCCAACAAUAUAUUUCACUUUGAUUAAGUAAUGUCCAGGACCUAGUGUGUGAUCAAUGAACUUGUUAGAUCACAGCCCCAUUAUCCCCAUACUCAACCUAUUCAUUGACACAUUGGGGUUAACUUGCUCAUAACAAGCAAACACAUACCAGUCACAAAAAAAAAAAAAUGAGUGUAGAGCUGGGCUCAUUUUAUGGUGUUAGCUAAAGCUGACUGUCUGCUCUUUGUCUUACAGACAAACGUUUCUAUCUUACAUGUAAGUAGAUUCCACUCAACUCAUUGUAUACUAUAGCUAUUUGAAUUUACACUGAGUGUACAAAACAUUAAGAACACCUAUUCUUUCCAUGACAUAGAUGGACCAGGUGAAUCCAGGUAAAAGCUAUGAUCCCUUAUUAAUUGUCAGUUGUUAAAUCCACUUCAAUCAGUGUAGAUGAAAGGGAGGAGAGAGGGUUAAAGAAGGAUUUUUAAGCCUUGAGACAUGGAUCGUAUGUGUGCCUUUCAGAGGGUGAAUUGGCAAAACCAAAAUUUAAGUCCCUUAGAAUGGGGAUUGGUAGUUGUUGCCAGGCCACCGGUUUAUGUUAAGAACUGCAACGCUGCUGGAUUUUUCACACUCAACAGUUUCCCUUGUGUAUCAAGACUGGUCGACCACCCAAAGGACAUCCAGCCAACCCGACAGAACUGGUAAACAUUGGAGUCAACAUGGGCCAGCAUGUUGUGGAACGCUUUCGACACCUUGUAGAGUCCACGUCCCGACGAAUUGAAGCUGUUCUGAGGGCGGAAUACAAAUUGAAACUCAAAUGAGAAAAAAUACAAAUUGAAACCCAAAGGGGCAAAGACUUGAGAGAGAGCAACUUGAGAAAUUGAGAGCGAAAACUUGACACAGAUAUGUGACUAUUGUUGGCGGACAAUUGAAUGCUUUCAAAUAAAAAAUGUACCCAUUUGAA